rnacentral:rRNA from 1 species
GAUGAACGCUGGCGGCGUGCCUAAUACAUGCAAGUCGAGCGAACAGACGAGGAGCUUGCUCCUCUGACGUUAGCGGCGGACGGGUGAGUAACACGUGGAUAACCUACCUAUAAGACUGGGAUAACUUCGGGAAGCCGGAGCUAAUACCGGAUAAUAUAUUGAACCGCAUGGUUCAAUAGUGAAAGACGGUUUUGCUGUCACUUAUAGAUGGAUCCGCGCCGCAUUAGCAAGUUGGUAAGGUAACGGCUUACCAAGGCGACGAUGCGUAGCCGACCUGAGAGGGUGAUCGGCCACACUGGAACUGAGACACGGUCCAGACUCCUACGGGAGGCAGCAGUAGGGAAUCUUCCGCAAUGGGCGAAAGCCUGACGGAGCAACGCCGCGUGAGUGAUGAAGGUCUUCGGAUCGUAAAACUCUGUUAUUAGGGAAGAACAAAUGUGUAAGUAACUAUGCACGUCUUGACGGUACCUAAUCAGAAAGCCACGGCUAACUACGUG